UACGUAGGGUGCAAGCGUUGUCCGGAAUUAUUGGGCGUAAAGGGCUCGUAGGCGGUCCAUCGCGUCGGGAGUGAAAAGCUGGGGCUUAACCCCAGUCCUGCUUCCGAUACGGGUGGACUAGAGGUAGGCAGGGGAGAACGGAAUUCCUGGUGUAGCGGUAAAAUGUGAAGAUAUAUGGAAGAACAUCAAUAAUGGCGAAGGCAGUUAACUAUUCUGUUACUGACGUUGAGGCACGAAAGCGUGGGGAGCAAAACGGG
rnacentral:rRNA from 1 species